AGACCGAUAGCGAACAAGUACAGUGAUGGAAAGAUGAAAAGAACUUUGAAAAGAGAGUGAAAAAGUACGUGAAAUUGUUGAAAGGGAAGGGCUUGAGAUCAGACUUGGUAUUUUGCGAUCCUUUCCUUCUUGGUUGGGUUCCUCGCAGCUUACUGGGCCAGCAUCGGUUUGGAUGGUAGGAUAAUGACUAAGGAAUGUGGCUCUACUUCGGUGGAGUGUUAUAGCCUUGGUUGAUACUGCCUGUCUAGACUCGAGGACUGCGUCUUUUGACUAGGAUGUUGGCAUAAUGAUCUUAAGCCACCCGUCUUGAAACACGGACCAAG
rnacentral:rRNA from 1 species